rnacentral:rRNA from 1 species
UGGGGAAUAUUGGACAAUGGGGGCAACCCUGAUCCAGCCAUGCCGCGUGUGUGAAGAAGGCCUUUUGGUUGUAAAGCACUUUAAGCAGUGAAGAAGACUCCAUGGUUAAUACCCAUGGACGAUGACAUUAGCUGCAGAAUAAGCACCGGCUAACUCUGUGCCAGCAGCCGCGGUAAUACAGAGGGUGCAAGCGUUAAUCGGAAUUACUGGGCGUAAAGCGAGCGUAGGUGGCUUGAUAAGUCAGAUGUGAAAGCCCCGGGCUUAACCUGGGAACGGCAUCUGAUACUGUUAGGCUAGAGAAGGUGAGAGGAAGGUAGAAUUCCAGGUGUAGCGGUGAAAUGCGUAGAGAUCUGGAGGAAUACCGAUGGCGAAGGCAGCCUUCUGGCAUCAUACUGACACUGAGGUUCGAAAGCGUGGGUAGCAAACA